GACGGCGGGCGGCCGUGGUCUGCAGGUUGAUGGGCGCGCUCUGUGGGGGCUCGCCGCCGCCGCCGCCUCCCAGCCCUCCGUUCAGGUGUUUCAAGCUACUUCUUCUCCAGAGCAUCCAUCCUAACUCUCAGCUGUCAAGUUUCUCCUCACAGCCCUGAGGUCACAGCAGAGCAGCUGCCCUCACCUGUAGCACCCAGGUGCAGCACUGCUGUGCGCAGGAGAGCUGAGCGCUGCCUCAUCCCACCUACUGAGAACUUCCCUGCACAGCUCCUCACGAAUCUACAGUGCCAAUGCAAAGCUCUCAGAAGCAGAAAACAUCCAAGGAAACAAAAGUGCAUGAUCCCAAAAGACACACUAUUUGUGCUAGCUCAGUGGAAAAGGCAAGUAAGUAAGUAGGGGGUAGGUUAUCGCUUUCCUGACAGAGUGUAAUAGGAAAGCAUCAUGAGAAGUACAAAAGCAGAAAUUUUGAAGAGAAAAAGAAUAAUUCACUACUCGAGCUACCAUCCGUCCUUUUUCUGCUGUUCUCCCUACAUGCAUUAACUGUGAAUUACUUUUGCACAUCUUUGUAUGUGGUGUGUCAACGUUUUCCCAAUACACUGACAAAAGCAUCUAUUUGUGCGCAACAACAACAACAAAAGUGGAGGAAAUAAGGGCUUGUUUCAAGAUCUAGCUUGAGAUGAAUAUUAAACGCUUUUAAUGUUGACCAUUCCAAAACCUAUAUGGGUUUUGGAGCAUUUUGAAGAAAAUACAGAAAAUACUGAACAAAUUCUGUCCCUGCAAUGGGCUUGAAAGAACCAAUCGGUCUGUGCCAGUCACCUCCACAGGGAACCAUGUGAUGCAGAUCUUAUUUAAAUAACUGCACAUUUUAGAGACUGUCCAUGAAAGCAUUGGCAACAGAUCAGGUGUUCCAAAUUUGUUUCCAGAAGAGUUACAGAAAGAUCAUCUGUUUGAAGAAAUGCAGCUACAAAACGUAUUCCGUGUCUCAAUUAAAGAUUUUCUGAAAAUGUGCCUUCCAGAAGUUCAGAAAAGCCCCUUUUAGUCAGAUUGGGCAAGUAGGAAAAGAGACCUUAUGCUGUUUUCUUUACAAUGACCAUUUCUAUUCCUCGGCCCCAUUAAGGCACUGAUGAAGACGCGUUGGUCAACACAAAGGUUACGAUAUGAGAAGAAAUCCUCCACACAACCCGCUUUCCAAAUCCGCAUUCUAUUUCUGCCAGAUUAAUUAAAAGAAUAGUCUCGUGUUUUAAAGCGAGGCAAAAUCUGCAAUUUGAGAAUCAGUUGGUAGAACUUAUUCUCUGACACUUUGGGAAUAAUGGAUAAUAAGAAACGAAGCACGCUUUGGACACUGCAGCGGCGAAUGUGCUGAUAUAAUGGAAGAGUCAAAAAGCAGGGGGGAAGGGGAGGGGUGGAGAAAAAAGAAAAACUGAUUGGCUCUACGUGCUGGAAAUCAGGUUGCUGCUUCCCACCCACAGCACCCCAGCCCUCACAAUACGCCAAUUUUGAAGCCGCGCCUUUUCAAUAGCAGCACAACUUUCAUUUUCACCGCAGGAUGCCACAGGCAAACCAGAGUUUGCAAUAUGUAUGCCGGUCACAUGCAAACCCACCCCAACGUGCGAGAAGGCUGCUGCUUGUUUAUGACUUUCCAUCUUGGACGUGGAAUGGUCUCAACUAUUUGAAGCAGAGCUAAUCUUUUUUUCCAUAUGUACCAACAUAGCCCUAGCCCUCCUUUCCCACACAGGCGUGUACAUGAGAAGUAAGGAUCUGCUCAUGUUCUUCAAUGGGAAAUGCCCUGCUUUUGGCUGUUCCUCCCCAUAGCAGGGAUUUUAACCCAGGCACGUGCCUCCCAACAGCCCCUCAUGUUUUCAUAGCAGAAUACGAGAUGCUCAGAAAGGUCCUAAAACACACUGUCCAUCAUGUUUAUACUUUAACGCCCAUGCUGGAGAUAGAGACUUCAGUCCAUUAAUCUCUCUAGAAUGAUGCUCUCCUGACAAAGUGGUUUUGCUGUGAAAAAUUGCAAUUGUUUUCAAAGCAACAUGGGUCCUUCUUAGCAGCCUCGUGGCUGAGAGAAAACCCUCAGCACAACCCUGAGAGUUUACUCUGCUCGCAAAAGAGCAGCACUCCACUUCCAAACUGAAAUGAUGACUUCUCAAUUAGUAAUUUAGCACUGGUCUCUAAUGUAAAGCCCUGCAUGCCAAAUGUCUGAGCAGACUCCUCUGGCCACAUGGGCCAUGACCUCUGUUAAUUUACUCCUUUGUCACAUCAACAGUCACUUGAACAAUGGGAUAUUUAAUAUUCCAGGAGUGACAAUGCAGAAAGGCACUGUGGCCACCAGCCAUAGCACUUUGGUAUCGUGUCCUAGGAUUUUGGUUCAAUCCUAUGGAUUACUAUACACAUCCAAGCUGCUACUUACUGGUGCUGCCUGAUCUGAGGAUUUACCAACUACCCAGCCUUAAACACCAAAGCAGAAAGAUAUGGGACCAAGCAUGCAGGUGGACAUAUAUAUGGGUACUGAAAGGAGCCUGGUGGGUGUUAAUGGAAGAGAAGGGCCUUGUGGGGUGUGCUUUAUCCCAGGGCUCCCCUCAGAAAUGCUCCCUUUUGCAUACAGCCCUGAGUGAGAGGCUGCCUGUCCCAAGGAGAGGACAUUAAGGUGUGUUUCCUUGAAACCAAGGAUGGAGACACUUGCAGGGAAAAGUUUUAGGCAUCGUUCCUGAAAUGCAGUUUUCCUAUGUAGGAACGUGUAGGUGUUGCAACUGGGGGUGGGCAAGGAGGAAGAAGAAGAGGUGGAGGAGGAGGUGGUGGAGAAGGAGAAGGAGGAGAUUGUGGAGUGGUUCCUGCUGCCAGUUCUACUACCCAUCAGGAACCAACUGGGGGUUAAGUCAAACUGAGCAUAACACACGGGCAGGGAGGUUUGCAUUCGCUGAACUUAAAUCCCUGCAUUAUUUUUUUAAGGCUGCUUUAGCUGUUGGUUUAUUCUUCCUUUUCUUUCCUUCCAUUUUUUUUCUUUUUUUUUCUUUUUUGACAACUUACUGCCUACUUGUCAUUAGAAGUAAGAUCGUGUUCAUUUUUCUCUAUCAGAUCACAGUUAAUUAGCCAUUGCUGCAGCAGGCUCAAGGAUUUAAAUUCAAAGUGAAACUCAUUCUAAUCAAAACUGCAGCAAACUGGGGGUUUUGUUUGACUUUUGUUUGAAAGUCAGUUAUUGUACCGCUGAUGCACAUCCCAUGUUACCAGCUGAGUGCUUUCAGCAUCCCUCUAUCAGUGUGAAAUAUUUAAUCGGCACAAGGAUCCAAUCAGCGCAGCAGAGGGGAAUCUAGUGUGUGCAUUAAUUUACUUUCAGUUGAAAAGCAGUAAAGCAGGUCAGAAACAUUUAACCUCUCCCCUUCCCCCUCCCAAACAAAUACACAGCACAUCAGAAGAGUUUGGGCGGCAGGGAGGCAAUGAAAGCUCCCCCGAUGGAUCCAGACAGGAGCCAGACAAUAAAUCCCUCACUGCUGCCAAAGAACCACGAAUGCUGCCGGGAAGGGAGGAACAGCCCCCCUCCGCAGCAUACCCCCCAAAAUCCUCUCGCAAAUUAAUUAUGUGGGGUAACUGUUUGGUUUUUAAUCUUUGACUCUUUUUAGGCUAAAAAGAUGGCUGAAUGAUUACCUCUUCUGCCUAUGAACAUUAAUUAGAAAGAAAGCAAAUGCCGGGCAAUAAUGAAUCAGUCUUUCUAUUAAAGUGCAAUGGCUCUGGAUUCUCUAUGCACGCUCUUCAGGAAAGGCUUCCAUUAACACUACUAGUAUUAAAAAACUGUUUUAGAAGCCUCACUGAGCUCUUUAACCCAUCAGUAACGUUACACGCCGCAAAAGCACACUGCAGCUCACAAGAGCUAAACUUUUCCCACUACCAAUCUCCCCUUGCAUCUUCUGCUUAUUCUCCGAAGACAAUCGAGUUCCUUAUCCCGUGAAGAAAUGCAAACCCAGGCAACAGCUGAGCUGCACAAAGCCCAGCCCUCGGGUGGCUGCCUUCCAGGGCAGGGCAGGAAUGGAGAAUUAGCGGAUUUAUGCAAAGGGAGAAUUUUCAAGAAUGGCAAAACCCUCAUAAUGGUAACGGUGGGCUUAUAAAAGCACAUACUCACUCAAGUGCAAUUAUCCUUUAAUUUCUGAAGCCAUUAAACAGCUUGCUGACUGAAAAACAACAACGCGUAUUGCUAACUGGCAAUCCACUCGUCAGAGCUCUGAAUUAUCCGCUUAGUGACUUGCAAACAGCACUUUUUAACUAACGAGGGGUAGGGGGGAGAGAGGCCGAUAUUUAAUGAGAAAAGUCAGAUUUGUGCCACGGAACAUUCUGGAAGUGUCUCUGCAUCUCGAAGAAGUGGAGGAGGGGGAGCGGGAUUUUUUUUUUUUUUUUAAUAACCUCACAAAUAAUCCCUCCUCCUUUCUCUCUCUCAAACCAUGUCAAUGAUCAAGGAAAUGAGAACAAGGCGCUUGAUUCACAGCUGACUCUCUCUUCUUGUUACAUCAGAUCAAGAAGGAGCAGUCUAACAGGGGGGGUGAUUUCUGCAGGGGAAACAAAUCUACAAGCUGGCAUUUUGUCUCCUACUCCUGUUAAUUAGCCCGCUUUUCUGUCAGGAAAAAAGGAGCUUUUAAAACUUGCACUGGUGUUACCUAUACAUGCAUGUGUGCCAGAUUACAUAUACACAUACUGAAAAUCUAACAUUUUGCAUGUGGGAUAAACCUCUCCUGAAAAGUCUUUAAGAAAACAGUGGCUCGUUUCAGAUUUUAUUUGACAGAUAAGCCUCUAUUCUUUGCCUUACUCCCAGGAACAACUGUACCGUACACCGCUAAUAGUGAGAUGAGAUGCAGCCCCAUUAAUGACGGGUUCAUUGUGCUUAGGAUCGGGACUGCAGCGGUGAGACUGCAGCGCAGCCUGCGGAUCUAUGGAACGCUCCUUUUGAACCCAAACUUACAACAAAGGAGAAGUCGGGCUUGAUCUCACUUCGAAUAAAGCAGAAAGCAUGCAGGCAUCCUCCUGGCAGGUCACAGGGGGAUUUAAAAGGCUCCCCGCUGCGUAACAUGGGUUCUCUCCUAGCCCCAAUGCUGGAAUCCUGCUUGCCAUUAGCAGCUCAAAAUUUACAUCCUUUUGCUGUUGCCAGCUCAAGUUUCCCGUGAUUUGCCAUGUCCCAUGUUUUCACGAGGACUGCAUUCAUCCAGAGUAUUUAAUGUUAAAAAAAAACCCACAAAAGCAUAGCAGAACAACAGAAAAAGCACAAAAACAAGUCUUGCCAAACAAACACACUCACAAAAAAAAAAAACCAAAAAAAACCAAACCCAGAGUGCACACCAUAUAAACACUAAUGUGCUUCUAAUGUAAGUUUUGUAAAAACAAAGGCAGUGUGAUUAAAGGCCAGGAGCAUGCAGCUUAGCAUAUGGAGCCACAGUAAGUGCCCCAGAACAAGUUGAAUGUUUCCAUUGUGUGAAAGACUCAUUCAUUACAGCUACAAGAUGCAGCACAGACAUUUGCAUUUUUAGAGGGGCAUCUUGUCAUUUUUAGAUAAAUCAUGGAAUCCAGGCCCUUUUCACUGCCUACAUUUCUUGGUAUCCUAUUUCCCUUUGUUUCGGUACUCUCCAACACUCUUUUCCUCUGUAUGAAUGUUAUUAAAGUUUGCAUCCUAGUA